GGAUAGUGGCAGACGGGUGAGUAACGCGUGGGAACGUGCCUUUCGGUUCGGAAUAACUCAGGGAGACUUGAGCUAAUACCGGAUACGCCCUUCGGGGGAAAGAUUUAUCGCCGAAAGAUCGGCCCGCGUCAGAUUAGCUUGUUGGUGAGGUAAUGGCUCACCAAGGCGACGAUCUGUAGCUGGUCUGAGAGGAUGAUCAGCCACACUGGGACUGAGACACGGCCCAG
rnacentral:rRNA from 1 species